rnacentral:rRNA from 1 species
GGCUUACCAUGCAGUCGAGGGGCAGCAUGAACUUAGCUUGCUAAGUUUGAUGGCGACCGGCGCACGUUGUGAGUAACACGUAUCCAACCUGCCGAUGACUCGGGGAUAGCCUUUCGAAAGAAAGAUUAAUACCCGAUGGCAUAGUUCUUCCGCAUGGUGGAACUAUUAAAGAAUUUCGGUCAUCGAUGGGGAUGCGUUCCAUUAGGUUGUUGGCGGGGUAACGGCCCACCAAGCCUUCGAUGGAUAGGGGUUCUGAGAGGAAGGUCCCCCACAUUGGAACUGAGACACGGUCCAAACUCCUACGGGAGGCAGCAGUGAGGAAUAUUGGUCAAUGGACGAGAGUCUGAACCAGCCAAGUAGCGUGAAGGAUGACUGCCCUAUGGGUUGUAAACUUCUUUUAUAUGGGAAUAAAGUGGUCCACGUGUGGAUUUUUGUAUGUACCAUAUGAAUAAGGAUCGGCUAACUCCGUGCCAGCAGCCGCGGUAAUACGGAGGAUCCGAGCGUUAUCCGGAUUUAUUGGGUUUAAAGGGAGCGUAGGUGGACAGUUAAGUCAGUUGUGAAAGUUUGCGGCUCAACCGUAAAAUUGCAGUUGAUACUGGCUGUCUUGAGUACAGUAGAGGUGGGCGGAAUUCGUGGUGUAGCGGUGAAAUGCUUAGAUAUCACGAAGAACUCCGAUUGCGAAGGCAGCUCACUGGACUGCAACUGACACUGAUGCUCGAAAGUGUGGGUAUCAAACAGGAUUAGAUACCCUGGUAGUCCACACAGUAAACGAUGAAUACUCGCUGUUUGCGAUAUACAGUAAGCGGCCAAGCGAAAGCAUUAAGUAUUCCACCUGGGGAGUACGCCGGCAACGGUGAAACUCAAAGGAAUUGACGG